AGAGUUUGAUCCUGGCUCAGGACGAACGCUGGCGGCGUGCUUAACACAUGCAAGUCGAACGGUGAAGGGGAGCUUGCUCCCCGGAUCAGUGGCGAACGGGUGAGUAACACGUGGGCAACCUGCCCCAGACUUCGGGAUAACGCUUCGAAAGAGGUGCUAAUACCGGAUACGAACCUCCCUGGCAUCUGGGAGGUUGGAAAGUUUUUCGGUCUGGGAUGGGCCCGCGGCCUAUCAGCUUGUUGGUGAGGUAACGGCUCACCAAGGCGACGACGGGUAGCCGGCCUGAGAGGGCGACCGGCCACACUGGGACUGAGACACGGCCCAGACUCCUACGGGAGGCAGCAGUGGGGAAUAUUGCGCAAUGGGCGAAAGCCUGACGCAGCAACGCCGCGUGAGGGAUGACGGCCUUCGGGUUGUAAACCUCUUUCAGCGGGGAAGAAGCGAAAGUGACGGUACCUGCAGAAGAAGCACCGGCUAACUACGUGCCAGCAGCCGCGGUAAUACGUAGGGUGCAAGCGUUGUCCGGAUUUAUUGGGCGUAAAGAGCUCGUAGGCGGUUAGUCACGUCGGAUGUGAAAACUCAGAGCUUAACUCUGAGCCUGCAUUCGAUACGGGCUGACUAGAGUGUUGUAGGGGAGACUGGAACUCCUGGUGUAGCGGUGAAAUGCGCAGAUAUCAGGAAGAACACCGGUGGCGNNNNCGGGUCUCUGGGCAACUACUGACGCUGNNNNNCGAAAGCGUGGGGAGCAAACAGGAU
rnacentral:rRNA from 1 species